ensembl:lncRNA
CCAGGAGGUGUCCUGGUACAUCAAGCUGUCUCACUACAGAAACAGGAGAUAGACUAGUGUCCUGUCCAGGGGGUGUCCUGGUACAUCAAGCUGUCUCACUACAGAAACAGGAGAUAGACUAGUGUCCUGUCCAGGGGGUGUCCUGGUACAUCAAGCUGCCUCAGUACAGAAACAGGAGAUAGACUAGUGUCCUGUCCAGGGGGUGUCCUGGUACAUCAAGCUGUCUCACUACAGAAACAGGGGAUAGACUAGUGUUCUGUCCAGGGGUGUCCUGUACAUCAGAAACAGGAGAUAGACUAGUGUCCUGUCCAG